GAUGAACGCUGGCGGCGUGCCUAAUACAUGCAAGUCGAGCGAACGGACGAGAAGCUUGCUUCUCUGAUGUUAGCGGCGGACGGGUGAGUAACACGUGGAUAACCUACCUAUAAGACUGGGAUAACUUCGGGAAACCGGAGCUAAUACCGGAUAAUAUUUUGAACCGCAUGGUUCAUAAGUGAAAGACGGUCUUGCUGUCACUUAUAGAUGGAUCCGCGCUUCAUUAGCUAGUUGUUAAGGUAACGGCUUACCAAGGCGACGAUGCAUAGCCGACCUGAGAGGGUGAUCGGCCACACUGGAACUGAGACACGGUCCAGACUCCUACGGGAGGCAGCAGUAGGGAAUCUUCCGCAGUAGGCGAAAGCCUGACGGAGCAACGCCGCGUGAGUGAUGAAGGUCUUCGGAUCGUAAAACUCUGUUAUUAGGGAAGAACAUAUGUGUAAGUAACUGUGCACAUCUUGACGGUAACUAAUCAGAAAGCCACGGCUAACUACGUG
rnacentral:rRNA from 1 species